UUACCAAGGCUUGACAUGGUAGAAGUAGGGAAACCUGAAAGGGGGACGACCUGUUGAGUCAGGAGCUAUCACAGGUGCUGCAUGGCUGUCGUCAGCUCGUGCCGUGAGGCGUUAGGUUAAGUCCUGUAACGAGCGCAACCCUUGUUGUCAGUUGAUUUCUCUGGCGAGACUGCCUCGAAACGGGGAGGAAGGUGGGGAUGACGUCAAGUCAGCAUGGCCCUUAUGCCUUGGGCUACACACACGCUACAAUGGGUGGUACAAUAGGCAGCAAUGGAGCGAUCCGGAGCUAAUCCUCUAAAACCAUCCUCAGUUCGGAUUGCAGGCUGAAAUUCGCCUGCAUGAAGUCGGAGUUGCUAGUAACCGCGUAUCAGCAUGGCGCGGUGAAUACGUUCUCGGGCCUU
rnacentral:rRNA from 1 species